rnacentral:rRNA from 1 species
UGGCGGACGGGUGAGUAACACGUGAGCAACCUGCCUUUGAGAGGGGAAUAACGGCUGGAAACGGUCGCUAAUACCGCAUAAUGUACGGAUGGGACAUCCUGUCUGUACCAAAGAUUUAUCGCUCGAAGAUGGGCUCGCGUCCGAUUAGGUAGUUGGUGAGGUAACGGCCCACCAAGCCGACGAUCGGUAGCCGGACUGAGAGGUUGAACGGCCACAUUGGGACUGAGACACGGCCCUGACUCCUACGGGAGGCAGCAG